rnacentral:rRNA from 1 species
UACGUAGGUGGCAAGCGUUGUCCGGAAUUAUUGGGCGUAAAGAGCUCGUAGGCGGUUUGUUGCGUCGGCUGUGAAAUCCCGAGGCUCAACCUCGGGUCUGCAGUCGAUACGAGCAAACUAGAGUGUUGCAGGGGAGACUGGAAUUCCUGGUGUAGCGGUGAAAUGCGCAGAUAUCAGGAGGAACACCGGUGGCGAAGGCGGGUCUCUGGGCAACAACUGACGCUGAGGAGCGAAAGCUAGGGGAGCAAACAGG